rnacentral:rRNA from 1 species
CAGGCCUAACACAUGCAAGUCGAACGAACCCUUGGGCCUUAGUGGCGCACGGGUGCGUAACGCGUGGGAAUCUGCCCUUUGGUACGGAAUAACUCGGGGAAACUCGUGCUAAUACCGUAUGAUGUCGCAAGACCAAAGAUUUAUCGCCAAGGGAUGAGCCCGCGUAGGAUUAGCUAGUUGGUGGGGUAAAGGCCUACCAAGGCGACGAUCCUUAGCUGGUCUGAGAGGAUGAUCAGCCACACUGGGACUGAGACACGGCCCAGACUCCUACGGGAGGCAGCAGUGGGGAAUAUUGGACAAUGGGCGAAAGCCUGAUCCAGCAAUGCCGCGUGAGUGAUGAAGGCCCUAGGGUUGUAAAGCUCUUUUACCCGGGAAGAUAAUGACUGUACGGGGAGAAUAAGCCCC